CAAGUCGUGGGGCAGCAUGUCCCGCAGCAAUGCGGGAUGAUGGCGACCGGCAAACGGGUGCGGAACACGUACACAACCUUCCUUUUAGUGGAGAAUAGCCCAGGGAAACUUGGAUUAAUACUCCGUAACAUAUAGAAGUGGCAUCACUUUUAUAUUAUAGCAGCAAUGCGCUAGAAGAUGGGUGUGCGGCUGAUUAGAUAGUUGGCGGGGUAACGGCCCACCAAGUCGACGAUCAGUAACUGGUGUGAGAGCACGACCAGUCACACGGGCACUGAGACACGGGCCCGACUCCUACGGGAGGCAGCAGUAAGGAAUAUUGGUCAAUGGACGCAAGUCUGAACCAGCCAUGCCGCGUGGAGGAUGAAGGUCCUCUGGAUUGUAAACUUCUUUUAUUUGGGAAGAAACCCAUCUUUUCUAAGAUGGUUGACGGUACCAGAUGAAUAAGCACCGGCUAACUCCGUGCCAGCAGCCGCGGUAAUACGGAGGGUGCAAGCGUUAUCCGGAUUCACUGGGUUUAAAGGGUGCGUAGGUGGGCAAGUAAGUCAGUGGUGAAAUCUCCGGGCUUAACCCGGAAACUGCCAUUGAUACUAUUUGUCUUGAAUACUGUGGAGGUCAGCGGAAUAUGUCAUGUAGCGGUGAAAUGCUUAGAUAUGACAUAGAACACCAAUUGCGAAGGCAGCUGGCUACACAAAUAUUGACACUGAGGCACGAAAGCGUGGGGAUCAAACAGGAUUAGAUACCCUGGUAGUCCACGCCCUAAACUAUGGAUACUCGACAUUUGCGAUAAACUGCAAGUGUCUGAGCGAAAGCAUUAAGUAUCCCACCUGGGAAGUACGAUCGCAAGAUUGAAACUCAAAGGAAUUGGCGGGGGUCCGCACAAGCGGGGGAGCAUGUGGUUUA
rnacentral:rRNA from 1 species